CACAAGGCAAAACUCACCCCGCACUUCAAGCCUCUCCCCUUCAGGGACCUCCUCCUUCGUGAUGCCUUUUUGGCUUCCCCAGGUGACAUGGGCCAGGCUUCUGGGAUCCACCUACUCUCAGAUUGGCCCUUGAGGUUAAGGAAGAAGGAAAUGCUCCUGUGGGUGGAGAGCUACAGGUUAUCUUUGACUACAGAUGGAGAAAGAAUGGAUUCAUCAAACCCGGAUACAAAUAGGAAUUUAUUAUACAAAAAAGAUGGCAUAUUAUCAAAUCAAUGGGGAAAAUUUGGUUUAUUUAGUGAAUAGUGCUGGAUAAACACAUACCCUUGCCUGAAACAAUCCCCUCUUUGCUAGUAGCUUCAUUGUCCUCCCCUCUUCUGCCUAUAAAACUUUUAUUUUCUGAGCUAUUCAAAGCUCCUUUCUAUCUGCUAGAUGAGAUGCUGCUGAUUCAUGAACCAGUGAAUAAAGCCAAUAAGAUCUUUAAAAUUUACUCAGUCAAAUUUUGUUUUUUUAACAAUUGUUUAAAAAACAAUUUUGUCUUUUACUGGGACUUUCUUGGUGGUUCAGUGGCUAAGACUCUGUGCUCCCAGUACAGGGGGCCCAAGUUCGAUCUCUGGUCUG
rnacentral:lncRNA from 1 species